GGGAAGGUCCUUGGUUCAGUGGUGGUGAGCAUUUGCUUGGGGUGCAGAAGGCCCCAGGUUCCAUUCCUGGUAUCUCCCA
rnacentral:tRNA from 1 species